UCUGAAUCAUUUUUCAAAAAAAGGUUUUGAGCUUUUUAACGUACUAUUAUUUUCAUUCUUGAAAAAUUGCAGGCAGUCCCAAGCCAGCACCUUUUGGGUUCAGGGACUGUUUCAGCUUGUGUUUUAUUUUGUAAGAGGAAGCCUGUUGGGACCGUUAGGAGAGACUGAGAAAAGCCAGAGAACGCCUUGGGAAUGGACCCAGGAAUGAUGAAGAGCCUAGAAGAUGGAGCCUAGAAGAAAGUGAGUGGAGGCUUGGAGGUUGGGGACAGGGGGAGCCAUUUCUACCUGAAGGGAAGCUUAAUGGCAAUAGCUUCAUAAAGCGUGGCUUGGGGACAGUGGAGGAAUCCUGCAGGACUUACAGGUCCUUAUCUAUCUUUUGACUGGAAGCCUUAACUCGGGUGUGUAAAUCCCUGACUGAGAGACACCAAUGGGUACUGACGGAGCAGGUAUCCGGACUGGGCUGGCUUACAACGUCAUGCUCCAUCUGUGUUCUCCACUUCUCGUCAAGGCCCAGCAGGGGGCACAUAUCCAGUGAAUGAGCUGAUAGUUACCCUGCUGUCUUAGAGGAAGAGUUCCCAGCACAGCUUGUGAGUGCCAGCCCUUUUCAUGGAGGAUCGGAGAAUCUGUGGACACUGGAGUCCAGUAUGCAAAAUAAUGUUCUCAUAAGUGAAACACACACCCUUUCACUCUAAAUCAUCUCUGGCCUAUUUAUAGGGAUGCAAUGUAAAUUCUAUGCAAAUGGCUGUGUGACUGCAUUAUCUUGUAAUGACAAGAAAAUAAGUCUGUAUGGACAACCUCUGGACCCAUGACUGGAUACUCUCUGCAUCUGCUCAACUCGGCUGCAUCGUGGAUCCUUCUGGUUUUAGGCCAUUCUCUGUCUGCAUGCAUGGAUUUGACUGGCUUUUGCUAAAGGCUUACUUCUAGCCUUUUAGUGACAUAGAAAGUGACAUUAGGUUUGCCUUUGUACUCUUCCUUGGGCCAUUAUGGCAGAGAAACCCUUCAGACCGAGACAGAUAAGAUUACCUAAAAUUAAGACGUUUGAUUUGGAGAUGCUUUCAAGAAGUGCAAGACAGAGAUUAAAAGGGUUAGAAGUGAAGAGAGCAAACUGAGGGUUGAGGGACGGUACAAGCAUUUCCAGAGCUAUGGUGGAGCCCUGAGGUGACCAUCUAGCAGAAAAGAUAGGCUGGCUCCCAACCUCAAGCACCUCAGGUUGGGAGCUUCUUUGUAGGAAGGGCUUUUAUGUAAGCAACUAAGAGACGUCAAUUGUGUGUUCCAUAACUAGCGUCC
rnacentral:sRNA from 1 species